UUUUUCUCUGGAAGUUUACAUAAGUGAGUGUGACAUGCUGUCAAACACCUUUGUCAAGUCAGUGAAGGCAAGGUACAAUAGUUGGUGUUACUCUGGACGCUUUUCUUGCAAUUGGUGGACAGUGAAGAUCAUGUCUGUUGUACCUCUUGAUGGCUAGAAGCCACUCUGGAUUUCAGGAGGGACGUUUUCUGCUCGUGGUCUCAGAUGGUUG